rnacentral:rRNA from 1 species
GGGGAAUUGUUCGCAAUGGGCGCAAGCCUGACGACGCAACGCCGCGUGGAGGACGAAGAUCUUCGGGUCGUACACUCCUUUCGAUCGAGAAGAAUGUCUAUGGGGUUAAUAGCCCUGUAGAGUGACGGUAUCGAGAGAAGAAGCCACGGCUAACUCUGUGCAAGCAGCCGCGGUAAUACAGGGGGGGCAAGCGUUGUUCAGAAUUACUGGGCGUAAAGGGCUCGUAGGCGGCCAACUAAGUCACACGUGAAAUCCCCAGGCUCAACCUGGGAACUGCGUGUGAUACUGGAUGGCUUGAAUUCGGGAGAGGGAUGCAGAAUUCCAGGUGUAGCGGUGAAAUGCGUAGAUAUCUGGAGGAAUACCGGUGGCGAAGGCGGCAUCCUGGACCGACAUUGACGCUGAGGAGCGAAAGCUAGGGGAGCAAAC